GCCUGUUCUCUUUUCUCUUCUUUUUCAGCAUUUGUUUAUUUUCACAAUGUUUUGUUAUGGACUGUGUCAGAUUUGCCCAAACUUCAGAAGAACGGGUUUUUAUUUAUGUAUAAGGAGGCAGACAGAACCUGAGGUACAAAUCCAAGAGGGAAAAAAAAUGCUCCCCAGUAACGGAGGUCAGGCAAGGCAGAGAGCCGGCAUCAGCCUCAGCCAGCUGAAAUCAGCAAGCAUAAGCAAGAAAUCCAGUGUCCAAAAGUAACCUUUAAAAAAUUAAGACCAUUACAUGGCACCGAAAUAAUGCAAAGCAGAGCUUCCCCAGAGCACUGUGGAAACAUCAGCACUGUCCUAUUACGCAAUCCUCCAUGGCUGCCUACAGAGCAAGCAAACAUCUAAUUCAGUCACUAAAGAGAUCUGAUGUUUUUGGCAGGGGAUCUGCAAAUUGAAGAGGUGGUAUGACACGGGAUGGUGUAGAAGGAAACAAAGGCAAGGCAGAGGGUCCCACUGUGUAGGACAAAACCUCCAGUUGGCAGGUGACUCCCUGUUUGCCCCGUCUGCUGGCCUCUGAUCCGAUAGAGUACUCACAGAUAUUUAACUUGAAGCAUUUGAGCAGUCCCUUGAAGGCAGUAUGGAUGCAUGGCUUGUAGUGUAACACACAAGUCAUGUGCUGUACUUCAGUUCUAUCUUGAAGUACUUCCCAAAAAAAGCAAGAUUCAGCCUCCCUGGCAUGGCCUAGCCAAGACUUUUGCCAUAAAUUUUUCACUGGUCCACAUCUGCUCUGAUAGAGAGAGAGCAGCAAGGUGGACUCUUCAGCAAAGCAGACAUUGAACCUGAAAACUGAAGAUCUGGGUCCAAAAAGAAUAAUUUUUAGAAGACCUAAAUGUAUCAUCAGCUCAGACAGCAUUGAUUUUAUACUUUCUGUGAAGAGAAUGGAUACCUUAGAAAUCCGUAUGUAAGUUUCUAGAAAAGUUAUUUGACUUUCAAAUUAGCAUGUACUCCCAACUCCAGUGGGAUUUGCAUAUGUCCAGAGCUUAUUAAAAAUUAAGAUAGUCAUCUGUAGGAGGCUAAACCUAAAGACUUAUGAACAUAACUUUAGACAUUCACAUUUGGAAAAUGUUGAUCUUCCUCUAAAUAUCAUUUUAUUAACUGAUUUUUCUCAUUAUAUAAAUGUUGUAUCUGUAGUGCUUUCUAACUGCACUGAUAGGUUGGGUGUGCAGAUAAAGACUAUGUUUAAAAAAAAAACAAAACAGAAAAAAAUAUUUCAAAUUUU